rnacentral:rRNA from 1 species
AUUGAACGCUGGCGGUAGGCCUAACACAUGCAAGUCGAACGAGUGGCGGACGGGUGAGUAAUGUCUGGGGAUCUGCCUGAUGGAGGGGGAUAACUACUGGAAACGGUAGCUAAUACCGCAUACUAUCAGAUGUGCCCAGAUGGGAUUCGCUUGUUGGUGGGGUAACGGCUCACCAAGGCGACGAUCCCUAGCUGGUCUGAGAGGAUGACCAGCCACACUGGAACUGAGACACGGGCCAGACUCCUACGGGAGGCAGCAGUGGGGAAUAUGGCACAAGGGGCGCAAGCAUGAUGCAGCCAUGCCGCGUGUAUGAAGAAGGCCAUCGGGUUGUAAAGUACUUUCAGCGGGGAGGCGUUACCCGCAGAAGAAGCACCGGCUAACUCCGUGCCAGCAGCCGCGGUAAUAC